AGCAGCCGCGGUAAUUCCAGCUCCAAUAGCGUAUAUUAAAGUUGUUGCAGUUAAAAAGCUCGUAGUUGAAUUUCGGGACCAAUCUGCCGGUCGUGCCUCCGGUACGCACUGGUUUUAUUGGUUUCUCCCUUCUGACGAACCACGAUGUCAUUAAUUUGGUGUCAUGGGGAAUCAGGACUGUUACUUUGAAAAAAUUUAGAGUGUUUAAAGCAGGCUCGCGCUUGAAUACAUUAGCAUGGAAUAAUGAAAUAGGAUGUUUGAUCUUAUUUUGUUGGUUUCUAGGAUCGACAUAAUGAUUAAUAGGGAUAGUUGGGGGCAUUAGUAUUCAAUUGUCAGAGGUGAAAUUCUUGGAUUUAUUGAAGACUAACUACUGCGAAAGCAUUUGCCAAGGAUGUUUUCAUUAAUCAAGAACGAAAGUUAGGGGAUCGAAGACGAUCAGAUACCGUCGUAGUCUUAACCAUAAACUAUGCCGACUAGGGAUCGGAUGAUGUUAAUUUUUUAAUGACUCAUUCGGCGCCUU
rnacentral:rRNA from 1 species